GGGCCCAUAGCUCAGUUGGCAGAGCCAUCGGCUCAUAACCGAUUGGUCCCAGGUUCGAAUCCUGGUGGGCCCACCA
rnacentral:tRNA from 2 species